UACGUAGGGUGCGAGCGUUAAUCGGAAUUACUGGGCGUAAAGCGUGCGUAGGCGGUUCGUUAAGUUCGUUGUGAAAGCCCCGGGCUCAACCUGGGAAUGGCAAUGGAAACUGGCGGGCUGGAGUAUGGCAGAGGGGGUGGGAAUUCCGCGUGUAGCAGUGAAAUGCGUAGAGAUGCGGAGGAACACCGAUGGCGAAGGCAGCCCCCUGGGCCAAUACUGACGCUCAGGCACGAAAGCGUGGGAGCAAACAGG
rnacentral:rRNA from 1 species